rnacentral:rRNA from 1 species
AUUGAACGCUGGCGGAAUGCUUUACACAUGCAAGUCGAACGGCAGCACGGGGGCAACCCUGGUGGCGAGUGGCGAACGGGUGAGUAAUACAUCGGAACGUGCCCAGUCGUGGGGGAUAACGUAGCGAAAGUUACGCUAAUACCGCAUACGAUCCACGGAUGAAAGCGGGGGACCGUAAGGCCUUGCGCUAUUGGAGCGGCCGAUGUCAGAUUAGGUAGUUGGUGAGGUAAAGGCUCACCAAGCCGACGAUCUGUAGCUGGUCUGAGAGGACGACCAGCCACACUGGGACUGAGACACGGCCCAGACUCCUACGGGAGGCAGCAGUGGGGAAUUUUGGACAAUGGGCGCAAGCCUGAUCCAGCCAUUCCGCGUGCAGGACGAAGGCCUUCGGGUUGUAAACUGCUUUUGUACAGAACGAAAAGCUCUGGGUUAAUACCCUGGGGUCAUGACGGUACUGUAAGAAUAAGCACCGGCUAACUACGUGCCAGCAGCCGCCGUAA